rnacentral:rRNA from 1 species
AACGUAGGUGGCGAGCGUUAUCCGGAUUUACUGGGCGUAAAGGGUGUGCAGGCGGGUUGCCAAGUGGGGUAUGAAAGCCUCCAGCUUAACUGGGGAGGGUUAUGCCAGACUGGCAGUCUAGAGGACGGGAGAGGGGCGUGGAAUUCCGGGUGUAGUGGUGAAAUGCGUAGAGAUCCGGAGGAACCCCAGAGGCGAAGGCGGCGCCCUUGCUCGUA